UAAUAAUAGUAGUAAUAAUAACAGUAAUAAUAAUAAUAAUAAUAAUAAUAAUAAUAAUAAUAAUAAUAAUAAUAAUCAUGAUAAUGACGAUGAUAAUAAUAAUAGUAAUGAUGAUGACGAUGAGCAGGAGGAUCACGAUUAUGACAUAAAAGAAUUAAUCUCGAACGAUCGCCGUGCUCGAACACGAUCGCGAGUGUUCUAUACUCGAAUCGAUAGGACGACGUCACGAUGACUCCUCUUCGAUUACGAAAAUGAUCUUUCGAGUUAUCGACAAUCGUUCGGGGAAACACGAUCGAAGGUCCCAUCACGUUUAAUCGUAGUUAAAGAGAAGAAUUUAUUCUUCGAAGGCUCGGUAGUAUGAAACGAUUCUUCGAAUGCAUGUUGUAUGUAUUGUUAAUUUGUUCGAUUCGGAUGACGUAAAAGGAGGAGAGUCCGAAAGAGCGGAAUCGAGAACGAUUAUUCGUGAGACCUUCGUCCUCGUGGAUGCUUAUUUUGAAAAGGCGUUGCGAACGAUUGGAAGGCCGAGAUCGUACCCCCAGCGUGUUCGCUCGCUCCCAUUCUCUAAAUAUUCCGAAUGAAUUAUUCGUACACGUAAGGAGAAUGUGUGUGAGUGUGUAUAUGUUUGUACGUGUUAGUGUGUGUGAGAGAAAAAGAGAGAGAAAGAAAGAAUCGCGGAGUCCGUUCUCGUGGAAGACGCAGAGAGCACGAUAUCGAUUCGACGACGACUGGAUUGCGUCCCGAAGGACGAUACGUUCCUUCGGCGUUUCUCGUAUUAUACGGGCUCGAAGAAUAUACGACAAUAAAAGAAGGAUCGUAGCCGCUCGAACACGAUCCAUACUCCGUGAGAGUUAAUCGAGAGACGGACGAACUCCUACGGCUUUUAUGGCUCCGCUCGUAAAGAUAUACCUACGGCUUUUUCUGUGGAACUGAGGACCCCUUCGAACGAAUACCCGGUCCAGGAAAAGUAGUAGAGAGACGUAGACGACGAAGAUAUGGAAAAGAACUGCGGUCUGGAUGCGUAAAUACAGAGAGGAGGAGUAUCCUUUGGGCUGUGGAAAUUUCGGUGAAAGAGGGUCGAAGCUAGCCAACCAAUUACUAUGCUGUAUAAAGGAAAAAAAAGUAAUAAAAAAUAAAAAAUAAAAUAAAAUAAAAUAAAACGAACAUACCUAACGCAGUUA